rnacentral:rRNA from 1 species
UGAUGGAGAGUUUGAUCCUGGCUCAGGACGAACGCUGGCGGCGUGCUUAACACAUGCAAGUCGAGCGGAAAGGCCCCUUCGGGGGUACUCGAGCGGCGAACGGGUGAGUAACACGUGAGUAACCUGCCCCCGACUUCGGGAUAAGCCUGGGAAACCGGGUCUAAUACCGGAUACGACCACCUCGCGCAUGUGGGGUGGUGGAAAGUUUUUCGGUUGGGGAUGGGCUCGCGGCCUAUCAGCUUGUUGGUGGGGUGAUGGCCUACCAAGGCUUCGACGGGUAACCGGCCUGAGAGGGCGACCGGUCACACUGGGACUGAGAC